UACGGAGGGGACUAGCGUUGUUCGGAAUUACUGGGCGUAAAGCGCACGUAGGCGGAUUUGUAAGUCAGGGGUGAAAUCCCGGGGCUCAACCUCGGAACUGCCUCUGAUACUGCAAAUCUCGAGUCCGGAAGAGGUGGGUGGAAUUCCUAGUGUAGAGGUGAAAUUCGUAGAUAUUAGGAAGAACACCGGUGGCGAAGGCGGCCCACUGGUCCGGUACUGACGCUGAGGUGCGAAAACGUGGG
rnacentral:rRNA from 1 species